rnacentral:lncRNA from 1 species
UCAUCUCACCACCAUCACACAUACACAUUCACCUUUUUACAGAGAUGUAGAAAGUAUGAUAUAGAGAGAACACGCUUUAGAUGGAGAGAGAAAGACCUACAGCUAGAGAGAGAGUGCCGGAACGACGUCGUACCAACGUCUUAUGCCGCCACUGACUUCCGUCGGCCACCCUUCUGAACCACCUCCUACCACACACCCUUCUGAUCAUCCACCACCUCCAAAAGAGACAUAGAUUGAUUUGGAGUUUGAAAUGGGAGAAAGAUAGAUUUGGAAGACAUAGAGAGAUCCAAACCCGGCGACUCUCCGGUGACCUGCCCUGCACGUCCUUGCCUCUCACCCACAAAAUCCAUGUUGUAGAAACCGUCGGUGGUGUCGGUUUAGUCAGACGGUGGUUCUUGGCGGUUCAACGGUUUUUCGGUGGUUCCCUCCCGUUUCCGACAAAGAUGGCUAGAGAUCGGAGUGUGUGUACAGGGCCGGGUUGGUUUGGGCUCAAGGUUGUAUGCUAACAACAAUCUGGUGGGUUUUAGGUAACGACCCAUUUGCAUUUGGUCUUGGUCUAGCUCUAGACUUGAGUUCGAGUUCGCAAGAUGAACGAUACCAAGUCGGGAUUUGGUUUGCUAAUCUUCUUUACCGUACCCUUGCUUCAUUGGCAUAUUCGUAAGUUUAGUAAUUUAUCUUUAGCCUUUUGAAUGCGUCUGAAGGAAAUCGAGCAUAGUUGUGAUUAUUUGCAUCUUGGCGUGGCCAAUGCAGUCAUGGCUCCCUCUGCUAGGUUAGUAAAUUAUCUUUAGUCUUCGAUGGCAAUACGUCAUUGAAAUUUGAGAAGAAUUUAGCCUUUUAAUCCGUUUGUAAAAGCACAUUUCUAAGAAUUAUGAGUUUAUUUAUGCCUUAAGUAUUUGAAUUGAUUUUAGAAUGUGGAACCACCUUUGUUGAUAUCACGACUUUAAUUUAAUGCCAACUUUGUUGAUAUCACGACUUUU